rnacentral:rRNA from 1 species
UACGUAGGGUGCAAGCGUUGUCCGGAAUUAUUGGGCGUAAAGAGCUCGUAGGUGGCUUGUCACGUCGGGUGUGAAAUCCCGGGGCUUAACCCCGGGUCUGCAUUCGAUACUGGCUGGCUAGGGUCCUUCAGGGGAGACUGGAAUUCCUGGUGUAGCGGUGAAAUGCGCAGAUAUCAGGAGGAACACCGGUGGCGAAGGCGGGUCUCUGGGAAGGUACCGACGCUGAGGAGCGAAAGCGUGGGGAGCGAACAGG